rnacentral:lncRNA from 1 species
GGGUCAUUGUGAUAUGUGUUUUGUUAGAUGAAUUGAAGAGAACAAUAAAACAGUAGUGGGACACUUUUCCAGUUCCAGAGAGACGCUUUUAGAAAUCUAUUCAUAGACAAUGUGGACAUGAUUAAAACUGCCAAGGGAUAUGUUACAUGUUUGUAAUGAUGACGGGUUCAGUCGAUGGAUAGAAGCAACACCAUCAAAAGAUCUUGGAGUCAAAAUAAAUCUGUCAUUGCAUGAUUUGGUACAUCAUUUUGGGGAAGAAAGUUAAUCUCUCAAGUAAAUAUCUGAUCAGAGAAUUUGCACUAACACUAACGUAUGGGAAGACGCUUUGCUACUUGCGCUUAUGAGCUUUCACAAUCAAAAGCACUGUGAUAAAUCUUUCACUGCAUGAUUGACUAACUUACAAAGCUAUGCUUUACUGCGGCUAAAUAAUUAAGUUUUUCGCUUGAGCAGCUGAAAAUUAGUGAAUUAAAUAUAUGAGGCAGCUAACUACGAUGCAAAGAUCUAUCGAUUAGUAGGAGGAGUGCCAAAAUCUGAUCCCAGUCAAGAGGUGGAGGCCAGUCGAGCCAGAGCACCAGGUGUACAUCACCAUCCUUUGAGGAGGGUGGCAAAAAGAACGAGGAGAAGACCUGAACACUUUGGUCCUGGUGAAUCUACUUCAGUGCAAGUAGAGGGCGUCAUCUACCACUGACUGCCCAGAAAAAACAAGGGAAGUAUGACUUGAUAAGAGACACUCCCAGAAUGACUGUAGCACUCGUCCUGAAAGUAACUGUUUUCCUGGUGUUGCUGCUGAGGGACAAUGUGUGGAGAGAGACCGAGAGAGAGACUGGAGACAACAAUGAGGGUGAAGGUCAAACUGGUGCCAGUACAGCUGUGAGAAGAAGAAGUGGGAGACAUUGUUAUCGCGGGUGAGUACGAUGCAACCCAAAACACAAUCCACACCACUCCAGACAGAGCUAGAACCCAUGCCAACAUUCACAGAUUAUUACAGAUUUACAAUGAGGUUAAAUAGAUAAUAAAAUUAAAAAGUAUUUUGUGUGUGGUAAUGUGAGAAUGAGAGAGGAUGUGAAGAGAAAAGAUGUGUCUUAAAAGGUUUUGGAAGUACUGUUGCAGAUACGUUUCUAACAAAACGAGCCCUGGGGGAGGUUUUUCUAAAGCUAUGAAGGGUAUAAAGAAAAGUUUAAAGUGGAAAUGUGGGAGAAUGCUGGUAAGGGGGGGGGCCUGUUAAUGGACUAGGUGGUCUAAAUUUUAGAUGAAUGAGAGCCGUUUUGGCCCAGCCAUGAGUGCUGCGAUAGCCCUAAUUCUGAUUUCCUUUCUCACAUGUCGCAUCGUACACAUCCUUUGGAGACAUUGUUAUCGCGGCUGACGGAGGAGAUGGGACUUAUGGUGGACCGAACACUGGCCCAUGAACUACAGGAAAUGCCACCAAAACAGCUGGCACAGUUUGUGAUUGAUCAAGGAGGGACUGAGGGACCUGAACGGUUCCUGGACUUCCUAGACGAAGAUGAGCAAUGGACUUUGAGCAACACAAACAACAUAUUCAAUGAGCUGAGAUAUUGAACUGAACAUGUUUCAUUCGCAGAGUUAAAGGACUACACUAAUCACACAUUGAUCAAGGGGUUAAUCAGAUAUUAAUCAAGGGGUUUGUCGCAGGUUGCUACAAUGUAAUGUAAUGAUAUUAUCAAAUGUGGACACUUUCUUCUAUGCAAAUGAAAUUAUGUCAGCGCAUCCAGGAAAUGGAUGGUCGCCAGGGCGCGGGGCCGUAAGAUUCUUUCCCUGCUGAAACAGCCGAGCAGGGUUUUCAGUCUUACGCGCUGAUAUAAUUUGAAAUGAUCCAAGCUAUGGUAUGGUGUUUAAUGUUUGAUAUGAUGAUCAGGUUUUUAUGAAAGUAAGAACUUUCAAAGGGGGGAUGUGUAGGGGAAUGUCUUCAUACAUUUAGGUUAAGAAAUAUAGAGUAAUUAUCUUUUAGUAAGAAGCUACAAAUAGUCUAGGUUGGCCUGCUCCUGCUGCCCCACGACCAUGAGAUUGUAAGCAAGGCUGUCUUGCAGGAGCCCAAACUAUCUGUCUGUUGGAACAUGUAAUCUCUGCCAGGGUCAAGACGAACCUAAACAAAGUGUCGUGGGGCAGACAUGUCAUCAUGAGGGGCCUUCUGGAGAAUACACACACACACACACACACACACACACACACACACACACACACACACACACACACACACACACACACACACACAGCAUAAAA